GAUUGAACUAUAAUCCCUUGUCUUCUGCACAGGAUGGUGAAGUCAAUUCUGUGGAUGUCCAGGUUAAGGAUAAUAGCAACAGCACAUACACCUGCACCCCACGUAAGCCUGUGAAGCACACUGUGAUGGUCUCCUGGGGAGACGCUAACAUCCCUGAGAGUCCAUUCAGGAUGAAUAUCAGAGCAGGCUGUCAUCCAAACAAGGUGAAGGUCUCUGACCCUGGAGUGGCAAAGACGGGCCUGAAAGCCUUCCAGCCAACAUACUUCACUGAAGGCGGGCUCUGCUGCAGAUAUUCCACUGGACAUAGGCGAGCUUGACCUCAGCCAGCUGACAGCCCCUCUUACAACACCCUCAGGCCCAGAGGAGCCCUGCCUGCUGAAGAUGCUGCGUAACGCUCACAUUGGAAUCUCGUUUGUUCCCAGGGAGAUUGGUGAGCACCUUGUUAACAUCAAGAAGAACGCCCGUCAUGUUCCCAGCAGCCCAAUUGCUGUUAUGAUCAAGCAGUCAGGGAUUGGUGACGUGUGCGUGUGCGUGGACCGUGGCUGACCAAAGCCAGGACUUUUCAGCCUUGAGAGUUCAUCAUUGAUGCAGGUAUAUGCUCAGUGAAAGCAUAAAUACUGUGAUAUUUUUCUUUUUAAACAUUCAAAUAGAAUAUAAUAUGAGAAUUUCGAUGUGAAAUUUAACCUUUAAGUGACUAGUACUUUGAGAACUGCCAUCAAUUACACAAUGAAGUUCAUUUACAUAUAGGUUAUUGUAUUAGUAAUGCUAUAUUGUACAUAGAGACAGAAUAUGACAUGAAGGGCUACUGACCACAGAAAAGUAAAAGGUAACUGGGCCUAAAGACUAACGGGAGAGAAACACGCUUUCUGUGAUUCUAUUUGUGUUUUUGUGCUAAUCUUGGAUAUCUUAGGUUGUCUCAUUACUGUCAUAUAUGUCCUGUCAUUAAAACACUGGCUUCUAACAACUAA